CAGCAGUCCAGCACCCUAAGUGACGCGUGCACUGAGAGGCCGAGCACAGAGCUCCCAGCUCUGUGAGUGGAGAGUCUGGGCAGCCGGGAAAUGAACAAGCGGCCUCCUACCACAGCUCUUUCCCUGGAAUCUGGAAUUUGCUUAGGGCAUCGUGACUGGCCGGCAACCCUGAGGGACCUGCCUGUCUCCACCCAUCCAGCACUGGGAUUACAGAUGCACGCCAUACCAGCAAGAGUGUUACGUGUGUUUGGGGGGUUGAACUGGAGCCCUCAUGCUCACCCAGCAUGAAGAAGACAUUGACUUCAGGCCCUCACAUCUCCACCGUCCAGCAAGAGCAGCCUUCUUCCUUUCCCUGCUACCAAAUGAGAAGAUGACGUUCUGGGCCUUUCUUUAAGUCUCACUGAUGAGGAAAAGCUAGGAUUCUCAAAAUUACUUAAAUGUAAAAUGCUGUAUUUUAUCCAUGUAUUAACUACCAUCUAAGUUCAGGUUUUUAGACAUCCAGUCUUCCAUGAAGCAGUUUUUGCA